AGUGGGAUAGCUGGGUCAAAUGGUGGUUUCAUUCCCAAUUUUCCAAGAAAUCUCCAUACUGCUUUCAAAAAUUGGCUGCACCAAUUUGCAGUCCCACCAGCAGU
rnacentral:pre_miRNA from 1 species